ensembl:lncRNA
CACUGCAUCUCCUAUUCUGUCCUGAUUCACACCGUAUUCUUACCAAUUACUGGCAAUGCCAACCAUGUGGGUUUUCCUUAUGUCUUUGGCUUGGGUUUAUGGAGACAUCAAAAUGAAAAUUUCUCAGCAUCAACUCUCCUCUACCCGAAGACCAGACAGAACAGUGCACAUAAGUUGCAAGCUGUCAGGGGUUCCCCUGGAGAAUGCCAUUGUGCACUGGUAUCAAGAGAAAGAAGGGGAGCCCCUGAAACGAAUCCUUUAUGGCUCAGCUAACAGUUAUAAGCUGGACAAACCUAAUUCCCGCUUGGAGAUAGAUAACAAAAAGAACGGAAUCUUUUACCUGAUAAUCAAUAAUGUUGUCAAGUCCGAUGAAGCCACCUACUACUGUGCCUGCUGGGAUCUCACGGUAUUACAGAGUCAGAAGGAACAUGGAAGAAAACUUUCUCUAUUGCUAGCCCCUGCCCCCACCACCACUCGAACAACCACAACAGGCUCUUAAUCAUGGGUUCAUAGUUUUUGGAACAGGAAGGGCCUUCAGGACAAAUUUAGUCCAAUGCCCACACUUCAGAUAAGAAAGCUGAGGCUCAGAGAUUAUGAGUGGCUUUUGCAAAACCAGUUAACCACAGAGGUAGGGCACAUCUGCUUUUCAGACUCAGUGCAUUGCCUUUUCUUGCCUGUCUUGUGUUUAGCAUUGAACUCCUUUUAGUACAAUUGCAUUUCUCUCAAAGGAAGCUGUGAUAAGAAUGGCUUGUCUUCAUAUGUGAUGUCCCCAGGACCCAGGUCUGAUUUGUAGGUAAAUCAUGUGAUUGCCAUACUCUUGAGAAAGGGUAAAAGUCAGGACUCCCUGCUCUGUCUACCUCUCUUCUAUUUCCCUAUGGCUACUUGUUGCUUCUGCUGCUGCUGCUGCUAAGUCGCUUCAGUCAUGUCUGACUCUGUGCAACUCCAUGGACUGCAGCCUACCAGGCUCCUCCGUCCAUGGAAUUUUCCAGGCAAGAGUACUGGAGUGGGUUGCCAUUGCCUUCUCCGUAUGGCUACUUACUCCCCUUCAUUUCUGUAGAUUCCCAUCUGUUCUGAAAUUCUCAAUGAUUAGAAUAGUUUUCUUGGCAUACACAUCAAAUGUGGAGAUUGCUUUCCUAGUGAAUAGAUUUGUAAACAUCACUUACAGAAGGACUUACCCAACCAAGUCCUAAAUUUCCUGCUCUUCGGUCUGAAACCUGGGAUUCAUUCUAACUUGAUGGUUAUGCA